rnacentral:rRNA from 1 species
UACGUAGGGUGCGAGCGUUAAUCGGAAUUACUGGGCGUAAAGCGUGCGCAGGCGGUUUUGUAAGCCAGAUGUGAAAUCCCCGGGCUUAACCUGGGAAUGGCAUUUGGGACUGCAAGGCUGGAGUGUGGCAGAGGAGACUGGAAUUCCUGGUGUAGCAGUGAAAUGCGUAGAUAUCAGGAGGAACACCGGUGGCGAAGGCGGCAUCCUGGACCGACACUGACACUGAGGAGCGAAAGCCAGGGGAGCAAACGGG